rnacentral:rRNA from 1 species
UACGAAGGGAGCAAGCGUUGCUCGGAUUUAUUGGGCGUAAAGGGUGUGUAGGCGGUUUGAUAAGUUAGAUGUGAAAGCCCAGGGCUUAACCCUGGAAUUGCAUUUAAGACUGUCAGACUUGAAGUUCGAAGAGGUUAGCAGAAUUCCCAGUGUAGAGGUGAAAUUCGUAGAUAUUAGGGAAGAAUACCAAUGGCGUAGGCAGCUAACUGGUCGAAACUUGAC